CCUACGGGGGGCAGCAGUGAGGAAUAUUGGUCAAUGGACGAGAGUCUGAACCAGCCAAGUAGCGUGAAGGAUGACUGCCCUAUGGGUUGUAAACUUCUUUUAUAUGGGAAUAAAAUGUUCCACGUGUGGGAUUUUGUAUGUACCAUAUGAAUAAGGAUCGGCUAACUCCGUGCCAGCAGCCGCGGUAAUACGGAGGAUCCGAGCGUUAUCCGGAUUUAUUGGGUUUAAAGGGAGCGUAGGUGGAUUGUUAAGUCAGUUGUGAAAGUUUGCGGCUCAACCGUAAAAUUGCAGUUGAAACUGGCAGUCUUGAGUACAGUAGAGGUGGGCGGAAUUCGUGGUGUAGCGGUGAAAUGCUUAGAUAUCACGAAGAACUCCGAUUGCGAAGGCAGUUCACUGGACUGCAACCGACACUGAGGCUCGAAAGUGUGGGUAUCAAACAGGAUUAGAUACCCCAGUAGUC
rnacentral:rRNA from 1 species